UGUUUUUGUUUUUUUGGUUUUUUGUUUUUUUUUCAUUGGUGAGUGUUUCUUGCAGUUGUGUCAGUUGGGUAACUGAAUAACCACAUUCUGAAUGUUUUUCAUCACUUAGUUAUGCAGAUAUAGUUAUCAGCUUAAAAAUCCUUUAAACAGGUCCCCCAGACUGUUUAAUCCAGGUACUUUUUGCUUUGCCCAUUCUCUGGUUCCCCUGACACUCUGCAAGACCAGUUGAUUGUGUGUAAUUAAGAAGAGAUGCUUGUUUAAUUGAGGGAUAUUUUUGCACAUCUUAAAAACAGUAAAUAUUAGCAUUUGUAAUUUGAAAGAAUUAGAAGUGUGUGGAGAAAAAAUAUUUUGCUCCAAACCACACAAAUACAGGCAUAUUAGGCAGAACAUACAUAUGUAUUUUUGUGUUAGUCACCUCUUAUAUUAGCAGGAGAGUAAUAAUUGAAAGGUAGAUAAAAAUUACAAGCAAUAACUCUAAUAUUUAUGAAAGGAUAAAUGUUACUUAGGCAUUAAAUUUUCUUCCUGGAAAAUUGAGUAACACAAUUUAAGAUGUAGUUGAAAAUACAAUUUAAUUAUUCUGUUGAUUAAUUUGGUAAUAUGAAUAGAAGAACUCAAGUAUUUGAUCAUAUGGUUCCUAAUAAGCUGUGAUACAUAUGUGUGAUUAUACACUAUUUCAUUACAGCUUUUUGAUUCCUCCUUAAAUGUAAUACUCCCUGAAAAAAGUAAUAUUUGAAUUUUUUUUUUGGCCUCACUUUAACCUCACAGAUGGCUAUGUUUUAAUUUUGCAAAGAGGUAGUGUGUCUUAAGUAAUUUUUAAAGAAUUUCCUCUAUUUUGUACUAUCUGGUGGUACUAGAAAUUUGGAAUUUUUGAAUCUUCGCUGUGUACCAGAAUCACAUAGAUUUCUAGCUGAAGUUCCUAGAGAAAAGCUUAUAUAAGGAAAUUAUAGCCAUUUAUAUAAAAUUAGAAGUUAAUGGGUAAAAAUAUCUCAAAAUGAAUUAUUUUAACUUUCUUAUAAGAAUUAGAUAUAAAUAGCUUAGUAUUUUCUCAAAGUCUGAAGUGUUACUACUUACGAUAUAUACUCAUACACAGACCUUGUUUAGUAUUCUUACUAGCUUCUUACGUCUGCUCUAUAGCAUAGGUAUCCAUUUUCCUGACCAUAAGAGUGAUUGUAUUUGAAAAAUACUCCUAGAAUGAUAAUGUCACUGAUAAGGUUUAUCUAUUCUAAAAUCAAAAAUUAAAUAUCACUAUGUAUUUCAUUUGAAAUAACUGUCUAUGCUUGACAAAGAAUAUAUAUCUUCUGGGUUUUCUACCACAUAUAAUUUUGCAAUGAAUAUUUUUACGUAGGAAUAAAUGUAAGAAUACAGUUUUCUGUUUGGCUAUGGUAAUUUGUCAUAUGACCAUUUGUAAAAGUCUAAUUUAAAGAAAUCAGUGAUACAAAAUUUUGGAAAACUUAUUUUUUAACUCAUUAUUUUACAUAUUAGGCAACUAUCAGACUGUCUUGAAUGCAUUGUACUCUUUGCCUUUUUGAGAUUUGUGAUCUUCUAACCUCAUGUGAAAGAUCUCUAGCUACCCUUUCCAAAUAUUGUACUUGUGUUUUAUACAUACAGGAAUAAAGUUUAGUGAUUGUGGCCUAGUUAUAAAAGUACAAAGCUCAUUUGGGAGCUUAAAACUUGGAUUUUACUGUAUUAUAUGUUUGAUAUGUAAUAUUUCUUCAAUGUGAUGAGUUAAAAAUUAUAAUUUUUUCACAGGUACAGGAGAAAAUAUUCCUCUUUGUAUUCUCAAAAGUACUGUUUUCUAAAUUUUGGUCUUCUUUUUUCCCAGACGGUGGGUUCGGCUGCUGUUUGGACGAGAGUUCCCCCUGCAGGACCUUCUGGUGGUCUGGGAUGCCUUGUUCGCAGAUGGCCUCAGCCUGAGUUUAGUUGAUUAUAUCUUCAUAGCCAUGUUGCUCUACAUCCGAGAUGCUCGUAAGUGCUUGAUGACCUUGCCAGCAUUCGCGUAGGUGGUCCUGAUUUUUAAAACUGUCUUAUCUUUUAAAUCUACUUUCCCUUUUAUUUUGAAUUACCAUACCUACAUUUUAAUAAUAGUCCCUAUAUCAAACUUUCAAAGGAACAUCCUAAAUAUACUUUUUGUUAGUUAUCCAUGUACAUAUUGCAAGAUGUGGGUGAUUUUAUCCUGAGAGAAUUGGAAUAUUCUUCAGAACAAUUCUUCUAACGAUUUUACGCUUGCUUUAAUCUCAUUACGCACAUUUGCGAAACAUAUAUAUGAAAAGCCAGUAUUUCAGAUAUGUUUAGAGCUCCACCUUCUGACAGGUAGGGAGUAUUCACGAAUAUUUCUUAAGAGAUUGGAGCUGUUUUUACAGUAUUGACAACUUGCCUAUAAAAAAUAAAUAUUACAUUUAAAGAUAUUUUAACUUCUCGGUUAUAUUUUGGCCGAAUGCAUUUCUCAGCGGAGUGCCAAAUGGUAGCUGUGUUCCCAUCCACUCAAAUCUACCUUACGGUGUUACCGAGUGGGAAAGUCAGUGCCUUUCCCUUUUUCGAGUAAUCUGAUAAUCCUCAGCUUAAAGAAGACAGCAGAGUAUGUUUUAAAUUUCAAGAUGCCUCAAAUUGUUUUCCUUUUCAGAAAAAUAAUCACAGUUCACAAAACAAGAUUUGCAAGCCAAAAAUACAAUUAGAAAAGAUUGUGCAAAGUGAUGAUGAAGUAGAAAGAAGGAACUAGCAUAAGAGUAGGACUUCAUCAGAAGCACAUAAACUAUUUGGAGUCAUCCAUAAUCUUGACGGUUGAAUUGCUCUGUGGUUCUCUUUAUUUGUUCAUUGAAUCCCACUUGUGCCAGAUGCUCUUGCAAUGCCUCUGGUGACGCUAAUAAUAUUCUUUAAAUUUUAGAUUAUACUUUUUUUAAUUCUCCCCAAAUUGCUUCAGUGAAUAAGUGACAGGAGCACAUAUUAAUCCAAAACUUGUGGUUUUUGUCUGUGCCUUGAAGGUCAGAUAGUUUGGGUUUUGACAUACAGAGUGAAAAGUUCCUUCUUUCUGAGCCAGAGCUCAUCAAAUAAGAACAUGGAAACCAUAAGAGGAAACAUCUGGAAAGCAGAGAAGGAUGUUUGGGUAGAUUUGAGGGAUACUAGAUUUUAUAAUUAUUCAGUACUAAUCUCCCAUUGUAAAGUAGUAUUAUUUUUAUAAAAUGUAAGUAACAAAAAACAAAAGGAAUGAGAAACCUCUUCAUUAAAAAAAUGCUUUUGGAUACUAUUUUUAAAAAAUUUGGAGUUCCCUUCGUGACUCACUGGUUAACGAACCCAACUAGCAUCCAUGAAGACACGGGUUUGAUCCUUGGCCUGACUCAGUGGGUUAAGGAUCUGGCGUUGCCAUGAGCUGUGAUGUAGGUCUCAGACAUGGCUCAGGUCCCUCAUUGCUGUAGUUCUGGCACAGGCCAGUGGCUAAAGCUCCAAGUGGACCCCUAGCCUGGGAACCUCCAUAUGCCACAGAUGUAGCCCUAAAAAAAAGACAAAAAAAAAA
rnacentral:lncRNA from 1 species